rnacentral:rRNA from 1 species
UACAGAGGUGGCAAGCGUUGUUCGGAAUUACUGGGCGUAAAGGGCGCGUAGGCGGCCUUCUAAGUCAGACGUGAAAUCCCCCGGCUUAACCUGGGAACUGCGUCUGGUACUGGGAGGCUUGAGUAUGGGAGAGGGAUGUAGAAUUCCAGGUGUAGCGGUGAAAUGCGUAGAUAUCUGGAGGAACACCGGUGGCGAAGGCGGCAUCCUGGACCGACACUGACGCUGAGGCGCGAAAGCUAGGGUAGCAAACGGG